GAAGUGAAUAAAAUAGCUUUGGUGAAGCGAACCCGGGGAACUGAAACAUCUCAGUACCCGGAGGAAAGGACAUCAACAGAGACUCCCGUAGUAGUGGCGAGCGAACCGGGACCAGGCCAAUGCCUUUGAUUCAACUAGCAGAAGCUUCUGGAAAGGAGCGCCAUAGUGGGUGACAGCCCCGUAUGCGAAAGUGAUGUCAAAGGAUUUGAGUAGGGCGGGACACGUGAAAUCCUGUCUGAACAUGGGGGGACCACCCUCCAAGCCUAAGUACUCCUCAGCGACCGAUAGCGAACAAGUACCGUGAGGGAAAGGUGAAAAGCACCCCGACAAGGGGAGUGAAACAGUUCCUGAAACCGGAUGCCUACAAACAGUCGGAGCCUUGAGUUCUUCCUUCGGGAAGGGCUGGGUGACGGCGUACCUUUUGUAUAAUGGGUCAGCGACUUAAUCUGACGAGCAAGCUUAAGCCGGUAGGUGUAGGCGCAGCGAAAGCGAGUCUGAACAGGGCGUUCAGUUCGUCGGAUUAGACCCGAAACCGGGUGAUCUAGCCAUGAGCAGGCUGAAGGUGCGGUAACACGCACUGAAGGGCCGAACCCACGUCUGUUGAAAAAGACGGGGAUGACUUGUGGCUAGGGGUGAAAGGCCAAUCAAACUCGGAAAUAGCUGGUUCUCCGCGAAAGCUAUUUAGGUAGCGCCUCG
rnacentral:rRNA from 1 species